UGGGGAAUAUUGCGCAAUGGGCGAAAGCCUGACGCAGCGACGCCGCGUGAGGGACGACGGCCUUCGGGUUGUAAACCUCUUUCAGCAGGGACGAAGCGAAAGUGACGGUACCUGCAGAAGAAGCACCGGCCAACUACGUGCCAGCAGCCGCGGUAAUACGUAGGGUGCAAGCGUUGUCCGGAAUUAUUGGGCGUAAAGAGCUCGUAGGCGGUCUGUCGCGUCGGAUGUGAAAACUCGGGGCUCAACCCCGAGCCUGCAUUCGAUACGGGCAGACUUGAGUUCGGCAGGGGAGACUGGAAUUCCUGGUGUAGCGGUGAAAUGCGCAGAUAUCAGGAGGAACACCGGUGGCGAAGGCGGGUCUCUGGGCCGAUACUGACGCUGAGGAGCGAAAGCGUGGGGAGCGAACAGGAUUAGAUACCCUGGUAGUCCACGCCGUAAACGGUGGGUGCUAGGGUGUGGGGGAACUUUUCCACGUUCUCCGUGCCGCAGCUAACGCAUUAAGCA
rnacentral:rRNA from 1 species